UGCAGAGGGUGCAAGCGUUAAUCGGAAUUACUGGGCGUAAAGCGCGCGUAGGUGGUUUGUUAAGUUGGAUGUGAAAGCCCCGGGCUCAACCUGGGAACUGCAUUCAAAACUGACAAGCUAGAGUAUGGUAGAGGGUGGUGGAAUUUCCUGUGUAGCGGUGAAAUGCGUAGAUAUAGGAAGGAACACCAGUGGCGAAGGCGACCACCUGGACUGAUACUGACACUGAGGUGCGAAAGCGUGGGGAGCAAACAGG
rnacentral:rRNA from 1 species